rnacentral:rRNA from 1 species
UCGAGAAUCUUUCGCAAUGGGCGCAAGCCUGACGAAGCGACGCCGUGUGAGUGAAGAAGGCCUUCGGGUUGUAAAGCUCUUUCGCUAGGGAACAAGAGAAUUGGGAUAAUACCCCGAUAAUUUGAUGGUACUUGGUAAAGAAGCACCGGCUAACUCCGUGCCAGCAGCUGCGGUAAUACGGAGGGUGCAAGCAUUGAUCGGAAUUACUGGGCGUAAAGGGCGCGUAGGCGGUUGAAUAAGUCAGAUGUGAAAUUCCGGGGCUCAACCCCGGAGCUGCAUUUGAAACUAUGUAACUAGAGUACAGUUAGGGACAACGGAAUUCCACGUGUAGCGGUGAAAUGCGUAGAUAUGUGGAAGAACACCGGUGGUGAAGACGGUUGUCUGGGCUGAGACUGACGCUGAGGCGCGAAAGCUAGGGGAGCAAACAGG